rnacentral:rRNA from 1 species
UGGGGAAUAUUGGACAAUGGAGGGAACUCUGAUCCAGCAAUUCUGUGUGUGUGAAGAAGGUUUUAGGACUGUAAAACACUUUUAGUAGGGAAGAAAAUAAUGACGGUACCUACAGAAGAAGCAACGGCUAAAUACGUGCCAGCAGCCGCGGUAAUACGUAUGUUGCGAGCGUUAUCCGGAAUUAUUGGGCUUAAAGGGCAUCUAGGCGGUAAGACAAGUUGAAGGUGAAAACCUGUGGCUCAACCAUAGGCUUGCCUACAAAACUGUUGAACUAGAGUACUGGAAAGGUGGGUGGAACUACACGAGUAGAGGUGAAAUUCGUAGAUAUGUGUAGGAAUGCCGAUGAUGAAGAUAACUCACUGGACAGAAACUGACGCUGAAGUGCGAAAGCUAGGGGAGCAAACAGG